UAUUACUAGAAUCCGAGGAAGCUGCUUCGAUGCAGCAGUUGUUGCAACAGCUGCUACAGCAGCAGCAGCAGCAACAACAACAGCAGCAGCAACAACAACAAGAACAGCAGCAGCAACAACAACAACAGCGACAACAUCAAGAGGAAAUGCAACGAGCGUUGCAGUUCCUCUUUGAUGAGCUGCACAAGCAGCAGCAGCAGCAACAGCCGCAGCCGCAACAGCCGCAGCCGCAACAGCCGCAGCCGGAACAGCCGCAACAGCCGCAGCCGCAGGAGAUGCAGCCACAGCCGCAGCCGCAGCAGCUACGGCCAAAACGAAAAAAAAGAGGUGCCGGCCGCGCGCGGGCCCGCUGGCGAGCCCAGCGGGGCUUUUGGGGUGCUGGCCGAGGCGGUGACCGAGGUGGCAACGAUCGAGGUGGCGGCCAAGGUAGCGGCCGAGGUGGCGGCCGAGGUGGCGGCCGUGGUGGCGGCCGAGGUGGUGGCCGAGGUGGUGGCCGAGGUGGUGGCCGAGGUGGUGGCCCCACAUACAUAUACAACUACAAAUAUUACAACAUAUCGUAAAAAUAAAUAUUAUAAAAAAUACUUUAAAUCUUUUAAAUAUCUUUUAUUCCUUUCAUUAUUCCUUUCCUUUAUAUAAAUUAAAUGUGGUAUAAUAAGGCUACUGGCGAAGGUCCACGUAAAAAAACCUAACGCGCUAUUAGUGGCACCUCAUGGGUGGCGUGGAAGCCACUUAAAUAAUUAAAUAAAGCAUUAAACAGGUCUGGUAAGCUAGACUUUACAUCUAUAAAUAAUAGAUGUGUUUAAGCAACAAUUAAAAACUAGUCUGGCAUGCUAGACCUCACAUCUAUAAAUAAUUGAUGUGUUAAAGCAUUAAACAGGUCUGGUAAGCUAGACUUUACAUCUAUAAAUAAUAGAUGUGUUUAAGCAACAAUUAAAAACUAGUCUGGCAUGCUAGACCUCACAUCUAUAAAUAAUUGAUGUGUUAAAGCAUUAAACAGGUCUGGUAAGCUAGACUUUACAUCUAUAAAUAAUAGAUGUGUUUAAGUAACAAUUUAAAACUAGUCUGGUAUGCUAGACCUCACAUCUAUAAAUAAUUGAUGUGUUAAAGCAUUAAACAGGUCUGGUAAGCUAGACUUUACAUCUAUAAAUAAUAGAUGUGUUUAAGUAACAAUUUAAAACUAGUCUGGUAUGCUAGACCUCACAUCUAUAAAUAAUUGAUGUGUUAAAGCAUUAAACAGGUCUGGUAAGCUAGACUUUACAUCUAUAAAUAAUAGGUGUGUUUAAGUAACAAUUAAAAAUUAGUCUGGUAUGCUAGACCUCACAUCUAUAAAUAGAUGUGUUAAAAAUUUCAAUAAAUUAAAUGUGGUAUAAUAGGGCUACUGGCGAAGGUCCACGUAAAAAAACCUAACGCGCUAUAUAGUGGCACCUCAUGGGUGGCGUGGAAGCCACUUAAAUAAUUUAAAUUUUUUUCAUUAAUCUUUUGCUAACUCGUCAGCUCUUUUUUAUUUGUGUAUUUAAUAAAUUAUUACAAAUUUUAUUAUUUAAUUUAUAUUUUUAUUGAAAUUAAUUUUAUUAUAAUUUUAAAGACAAUAAAUUACAUUAAUAGUAAAAAAUUAAAUAACAAAUAAUAAUAAAUAAUAUGAUUAAUGAUAUCGAUGAUAGAUAUCAAUUAAUCUGCUUAACGUCCACGCUUGAGAUGAGCGGGGGACGAGCGAGGGGAGGGCGAGCAUAAAUGCUUUCGUCGAGCAUCAACGUGCCCGCGAACGCACGUUUUCGUGGCAGCCUUGGAGAAAAAGAGACGGAUGUCUCUCUCUCUUUAAUAUCCGAGUAGUGGCAGACGCGGCGAGAACGGCCGAGCCGGCCCGAAAGCCGAGGCAUGAACGCGGCCGACUCGGUGCUCCGGGAGCACCCGAGGUGCCCCGAGAGUACCCGAGGUGCUAGCGGACUAAAUCUUGCACCACUGCUCCCAGGGCCACGCCGAAUUCCCGUGCGGGCCGCGUGCUCGUCUCUCCCGGGCACCGGUGGCGUCCUUCCUCCUUCCCCGCAUCGUCGUCGCUCUCUCUCCUCCUCUCUCGCUCUCUCGCCGCAUUCCAUCGGAAGACGGCCGCCG
rnacentral:misc_RNA from 1 species